rnacentral:rRNA from 1 species
AUUGAACGCUGGCGGCAGGCCUAACACAUGCAAGUCGAACGAGUGGCGGACGGGUGAGUAAUGUAUGGGAAACUGCCUGAUGGAGGGGGAUAACUAAUGGAAACGGUAGCUAAUACCGCAUACCAUCAGAUGUGCCUAGAUGGGAUUGGCUUGUUGGUGGGGUAACGGCUCACCAAGGCGACGAUCCCUAGUUGGUCUGAGAGGAUGACCAGCCAGACUGGAACUGAGAAACGGUCAAGACUCCUACGGGAGGCAGCAGUGGGGAAGAUUGCACAAGGGGCGCAAGCUUGAUGCGGCCAUGCCGCGGGUAUGAAGAAGGCCUUCGGGUUGUAAAGCACUUUCAGCGGGGAGGCGUUACCCGCAGAAGAAGCACCGGCUAACUCCGUGCCAGCAGCCGCGGUAAUUC